UAUAUAUAUAUGAAAAUAGCUUUCGACAUGCGGGGAGGACUUUUGUAAGAUAUACUGAUAUUAUAUUGUAUGGACAAGUCAUCAAAUUUAGUGAUAGCUUGGUAAUUGAAUUUUGUAGUUUGGUAGAUUUGUUAUAGAACUUUUAUAAAAGUUCUAUAACAAAUCUACCAAACUACAAAAUUCAAUUACCAAGCUAUCACUAAAUUUGAUGACUUGUCCAUACAAUAUAAUAUCAGUAUAUCUUACAAAAGUCCUCCCCGCAUGUCGAAAGCUAUUUUCAU